GAUGAACGCUGGCGGCGUGCCUAAUACAUGCAAGUCGAGCGAACGGACGAGAAGCUUGCUUCUCUGAUGUUAGCGGCGGACGGGUGAGUCACACGUGGAUAACCUACCUAUAAGACUGGGAUAACUUCGGGAAACCGUAGCUAAUACCGGAUAAUAUUUUGAACCGCAUGGUUCAAAAGUGAAAGACGGUCUUGCUGUCACUUAUAGAUGGAUCCGCGCUGCAUUAGCUAGUUGGUAAGGUAACGGCUUACCAAGGCGACGAUGCAUAGCCGACCUGAGAGGGUGAUCGGCCACACUGGAACUGAGACACGGUCCAGACUCCUACGGGAGGCAGCAGUAGGGAAUCUUCCGCAAUGGGCGAAAGCCUGACGGAGCAACGCCGCGUGAGUGAUGAAGGUCUUCGGAUCGUAAAGCUCUGUUAUUAGGGAAGAACAUAUGUGUAAGUAACUGUGCACAUCUUGACGGUACCUAAUCAGAAAGCCACGGCUAACUACGUG
rnacentral:rRNA from 1 species